GAGAAGAGGAGAAAUAAGAGAACUUAGAUUCUUGAAGAAACACAAGAUACAAAUGUUCAACUGGACAAUUACUUUUGAGAGGACAUUUGAUUUCUGACUUUCUGACUCAAAUUUCAGGCAAGUCCAUUCAAAUUCUUUCCUUUUUCUUUUAUUUUUUAAAUCUGUCUCUCUGCUGACUUUCAAGGUAGGUGCAUAUUCUAUCUAGGAUUUUCCUAUGAAUUUCAUGUUAGCAUGUAUAAGAAAACUGUUCUCUAAGGAAAGUCCUCCAUCUGUCUCCUUCAGUCCCAGUAAUGAAGGAGAGCGGCCGGGAGGGUUGGCGACCUUCCUGAGUGUCAGUGUUGUGGGUGUGAAGACAUGCACUUGCUGUUGCCACUUAGGCUGGUAUCCUGCUCGCCCCAGGCACAGGCUUCUUGAAAGGUGGGAGUUUCAGUGCUCAGGUGGAGUGGCUGCCACCUAGUACCUGUACCUACAGAUGCCAAGAAAAGAUGAAAUGUGCCACCACACUUGCAACGGCAGGUGGAAAAUGACUGCUGUUGCAAUUUCAGUUUUGACAUCUCAUCCACUCUUGUCUGGCUUGUGAGAGAUUAUGCUUGACUGGAUAAUUCACCAAAUCUUCAAAAUAACUACAUAAAUUACUAGUAUCAUUACUCCCACUUUACUUGAGUAAUGAGAAGACGGCGGUGUGGUUUGAAGAGAUUAAUGAAAUUUCUCAAAGGCCAAAACAGACUGAUGGCUUUACUAUCUGUUGUGUAGCGGGUGCCCCCCUCACCCCCACCCCCAUGGAAACAGUCCAUUUCCCAGGGAAGCCCCAUUAGAGAGAAAGUAAAAAAAACCUCAAAAGCAGGCCCAGGAAGUUUCUAAAAGUAACCAGAUUCAGUAGGCCCCUCCCCCAAGAGCAACAACAUAGAUAAACAGCUGAGUCACUUCAGACAAGCCCAGCUGCUACAAAGAAGCGGGACAGUCAAGAUGACUGAAAAGAAUCAGAGCACAGCAGAGCUGCCCAGCAGAGGUUCCGACUAAGCCACCUAGAAAGGACACUCUCAACUGAGCUGCCUGAAGGCUAUGCAGUGCUCCCCAGGUGCCCAGCUUUUGAGAGCUUUGGGGAUGAAGAUGUCUUUGAGUCAUCCCUGCUCCUGUAGGUAGCCCCACCCCCCAAACCCACUGGUUCACCAGUGGUGUCCCUGUUUUAGUCUGUCAUGGGUUCUCUCUCUGGAGUGAGUAGAUGUGUGUUGUGUCUUCCCAGGAAAAUCUUGUCACAUAAUAGUAGCCAACAUGCAUUUGACAGAAUGGUGUGUGCUCUGAAGCUUUAUAAUAAAAUGUUCCACCUACUCCAUUAAAGAGCCAAAGAGAAUCAGAACAGACUUUCACAGUAGUCAUCUUUUUAACAUUAACAGCAACACAGGAGGCUUUAGACUACUUUAGUACACAGUCUCUCAUCUGAUUCUCAUAAUUCUUCUACCCGUAUCUGAGGAAGAGAAUAGUAGUUUUUUAGGGAUGAUAAGACAACCCUAAGGGGGGUAUCACUGCAGACUGUAGGUGGUAAUGCCGGGUGAGGAUCUUCUACUCUCCUCUAAGCCACUGUUGAGAAUCUGAGUCUGCCUUGGCUAUCUAUCUCCUGACGCACUGGUUCGUAUGAUGGCAUUUAACUUAAAAGCGAUGGGAAGGCAUCUCAGAGCGUGAUCCGUGCGUCACUAGAAAGAUUUGGCUUUGCUUCAGUGAAUAAACAUUUUAAUAAUAAUAGUUUUGUCUUUUACUGUGCACUAAAGAAAGAAAAAGAAUUGUACACCAAGCCUUUGAUUUUUAUGACUAUUACCAUUUCAUUAAUAAUAAAUAUAAGGUGAAAAGU
rnacentral:sRNA from 1 species